UCAAAACCAAAAUGUCAACUGAUCUCUUGUCAAAUAGCUGUCAAUCGUUAUUCCGUUAUUAAGGUUUUCAUAUUUACAAUGACAACAACGAUGUGAUUCCUCCCGGCCUAGUUCGAAAAGUACGUAGAGGAGAACGUCCAAAUUUGGGCUAGGGUCUAAAUUCUGGUUAGCGUGAUAUUCAUUAUAAGGAGGUGCUGGAACCUAGCGGAGAGAAAGUAAAACAAUGUUCAAGGUCGUUCCCAUUGCUCAGUUAGAGGGAUAGUUCUGUUCCGUGACACGCAUAUGCGUAGUGAAAUAUUCUUUGAAUUUGACCAUCUGAAAACUUUUGCAUUUUAUUUAAUAAUCUAGGUAUAUGACCUAGAUUCUUACUAAUGAGUUUGAUUAUACAUAUAUCAAGGUUUUAAUAUAAACAUAGUUCUUACCUCUUCUUUUAUUUGUUCGUGUAUAACUAACCUCAAACCGACGCACGCCAUAGCAAAGAAUGACGAGGAAAAAACCCAAGUACACACCUAAGAAUAAAAGGAAGAACUGGAAUGAAGUGGACAUGGAGAAGGCUAUUCGUGCCGUUAGGCUUUGUUUAUGUUUUCCCAGUGUAUUAGGUACUCCUAAAUUUGGGCCUAGCCCAAAUUUAGACCACACUUCAAAAAUAUGAGACUUUGGCAUAUAAUUUGUUUUGAUGAAAAUCUUCAAAAUAGCUUUAUUUUGUAGUUUUUUAAUAUAAUGAACUCAAAACCUUUUAAA